GAUGAACGCUGGCGGCGUGCCUAAUACAUGCAAGUCGAGCGAACAGACGAGGAGCUUGCUCCUCUGACGUUAGCGGCGGACGGGUGAGUAACACGUGGAUAACCUACCUAUAAGACUGGGAUAACUUCGGGAAACCGGAGCUAAUACCGGAUAAUAUAUUGAACCGCAUGGUUCAAUAGUGAAAGACGGUUUUGCUGUCACUUAUAGAUGGAUCCGCGCCGCAUUAGCUAGUUGGUAAGGUAACGGCUUACCAAGGCAACGAUGCGUAGCCGACCUGAGAGGGUGAUCGGCCACACUGGAACUGAGACACGGUCCAGACUCCUACGGGCGGCAGCAGUAGGGAAUCUUCCGCAAUGGGCGAAAGCCUGACGGAGCAACGCCGCGUGAGUGAUGAAGGUCUUCGGAUCGUAAAACUCUGUCAUUAGGGAAGAACAAAUGUGUAAGUAACUAUGCACGUCUUGACGGUACCUAAUCAGAAAGCCACGGCUAACUACGUG
rnacentral:rRNA from 1 species